ensembl:lncRNA
GUAUAGUAUGGAGGGGAGAGGGGUAUUAAGCUGAAAAGAGAUUAAACUUGGCUUGGUUGGUUCUCCAUCACAAUGGUGCUUAACCAUAUUUUCCAAACUAAAAAUCAGGACGCAUGAUUGGACAGUGAAAUUUAUGCACAGACUUAUUGUAUAGAACAAAUGUUAUUUUCUCAAAAUCAGUCCUGUUCCAGUAAAUCUGGGCUAGAUGGCGACUGUGGGGUGGACUAUAUGACAGCCAACACAAUCAGAAGACCUGGUUCAAGUUCCCCUUCUGACACACCAAGGGCAAGUUCCUUACCCUCUCAAGGUUCCAAUGCAGAGCCACACUGGGAGAUGGAUUUCCUCAGUGGAAGUCCUCUAGACCACUGUGACAUCAGAGGUCCAGUACCUUCUCUAGCAACAACAACAACAAAAUGGAGACUAGUACCUGGGUUGGAUGAAACUAAAAUUCAGGAGUACCGUAUUACUUGCUCAGGAUCACACAGUUUGUUCCUGAAUUGAAGAAUACAGGACGACAAUCAAGAUCGACAGCAGACAAGAGUGGCAUGCUGACCAGAUGACCAGAGUUUCUCCAAUCAACAUCAAAGGACAUGGAAGGACUUUGAAAGUUUGGACUUGUGAUCCUGAGGUUAUGUAAGAAUGCGACAUACAUAUUAACAUCACAUAUAUAUAUAUAUAUAUAUAUAUACACAUUCUACAAAGGAAGAUAUCUCAUGGAAUGGAAUUAAAUUUGACUACUUCCCUACUGAGGAACCUCUUUCUUCUUUCAAAGUGGAUGGCAGUGAGGGGAGAGGAACCAUCAAAGGGAUAUUCAAUUCUGGAUCUAAUUCUCACCAGAAAAGGAAGCACUGAACAAACUGUCUCGGGCUAUCCUUGCGAAAAAGAUGGAGAGAUGCCAAUGGGAUCACAAUGCAAAGAAGUAGAGUCAGCAUGGGCUGCAUGGCAGGACCCAAACAUUAAUCACGAAUAUUCAAUGCCACCUUGGAGAGAGAUCUUCCAUGGGUCUGCUUUCCUCCUUGUCACAUUUCAGCCAGGACAGCUCAUAGCCAGGUCUGGCAGCUAUCAACAGGUGGCAUCAGGCAUCUCUUCCCAGUGUGGCAUCUACUAAGCCAUAGGCAGCCUGGCCCAGUCUCUCAUAGGACAACAUCCCAAAUCAAUACAGAGGGGAACGCCUCUGCCCCACAACUUUAGCGUUGGUCCAUACUAAAGUCUUCCUCCCCAUGGUUCACAAAGUCAUCAUCAUAAUAGCUAACAUUUACAGAUCUUAAGAUGUGCAAAGCACUUUACAUUUAUGUUGUGUAGUUUCUUGCACAUAGGAGCCUUGUGUUAAUGCUAUCCACAAUGCCUUUCACAGCUUUGGAUCAAGAAAGAACUUCAGAAGCUAUCUAGCCUCACUUCCAUAUUUCAUUCCUGUGAAAACUAGGUCCACGGAGGAUAAAUGACCAAGGAAGAUCAAAUAAGGUAAUAUUUACUGAGCACUUUGCAAACAUGUAAGUGCUAGCUAGUUGUCCUUAAUCAUCAGUGUCUGGAUUUGAACUCUGUUUCCUUGAUUCAAAGUCACUUUUUUCACUAUACCAGGCUGCUUUCAUUGCUGCUAUUCCUAGGGAAGCUAACCUCACAAAAUUUAGUCUAGAGAGCAGGCAUAUCAUAAUUUUCUAUCCCUUAGGGAAUCUGAUCUCUAGCAGCAUAUUUAAGUGUUUUUCUCUCAUGGACAGUUGGGAAGGAUGUCUCUCCACCUAUAUUAGUGAUACUCAGUAGCCAAUUCUUAGAUUCUCAAAUCUCAAA